GAAACGGGAAGAGCCCAGCGCUGAAUUCCGCGGUCCUCACGGGCCGCCGGGAAAUGUAGCGUUCGGGAGGAGGAUGUCAAUUAUCGCGCGGUUUUCGGCGCCCAGUCCAAGUUCAUCUUGAAAGGGGCCCCGCUUAUCCACAGAGGGUGCCAGGCCCGUAGCGACGGGCGCCGGCCGCGACGUUCCUCUUCCCCAGAGUCGGGUUGCUUGAGAGUGCAGCCCUAAGCGGGUGGUAAACUCCAUCUAAGGCUAAAUACGCCCACGAAACCGAUAGCGAACAAGUACCGUGAGGGAAAGUUGAAAARAACUUUGAAGAGAGAGUUCAAGAGUACGUGAAACCGUUCAGGGGUAAACCUGCGGGACUCGAACGAUCGAACGGGGAGAUCACUCAGCGCGUCUUUCGGAGUCCGCGGCGGGCCGCGUCGUUCGUGUGAUGAGCGCGAAACGCACGGUCCGUCGCGCAUCCGAUUCCGAGAGCGCGUGCACUUCUCCCUCAGUACAACAAGGAGUCUAGCAUGCGCGCGAGUCAUAGGGAAUCAUUAAACCCUGAGGCGCAAUGAAAGUGAAAGGCCUCACGGCCGAAGGGACGAUGGCGGACGGUCCGCCGUCCUGGCCCGCAGUCCCGGGGCGUUCGGAGAAAUGCCACCGUGCGAUUAUCCGGACGCACC
rnacentral:rRNA from 1 species